rnacentral:rRNA from 1 species
GACGUAGGGCGCGAGCGUUGUCCGGAUUUAUUGGGCGUAAAGAGCUCGUAGGCGGCUUGUCACGUCGAUUGUGAAAGCCCGAGGCUUAACCUCGGGUCUGCAGUCGAUACGGGCUAGCUAGAGUGUGGUAGGGGCAGAGGGAAUUCCUGGUGUAGCGGUGAAAUGCGCAGAUAUCAGGAGGAACACCAGCGGCGAAGGCGGCGCUCUGGGCCGGAACUGACGCUGAGGAGCGAAAGCGUGGGUAGCAAACAGG